CGCGUGAGGGAGANGCCUGUGGGUUGUAAACCUCUUUUCUCAAGGAAGAAGUUCUGACGGUACUUGAGGAAUAAGCAUCGGCUAACUCUGUGCCAGCAGCCGCGGUAAUACAGAGGAUGCAAGCGUUAUCCGGAAUCACUGGGCAUAAAGCGUCUGUAGGUUGCCUNCCAAGUCUGCUGUUAAAGAUCNGGGCCUAACCCUGGNAAAGCAGUGGAAACUANNAGGCUUGAGUGUGGUAAAGNAGAAGGGAAUUCCUGGUGUAGCGGUGAAAUGCGUANAUAUUAGGAAGAACACCAAUGGCGAAAGCACUCUACUGGGCCANAACUGACACUGANAGACGACAGCUAGGGGAGCAAAAGGGAUU
rnacentral:rRNA from 1 species